UACGUAGGGGGCAAGCGUUGUCCGGAUUUUCUGGGCGUAAAGAGCGUGUAGGCGGCCAAGCAGGUCCGUUGUGAAAACUGGAGGCUUAACCUCCAGACGUCGACGGAAACCGCGCGGCUAGAGUCCGGAAGAGGAGAGUGGAAUUCCUGGUGUAGCGGUGAAAUGCGCAGAUAUCAGGAAGAACACCAAUGGCGAAGGCAGCUCUCUGGGACGGUACUGACGCUGAGACGCGAAAGCGUGGGGAGCGAACAGG
rnacentral:rRNA from 1 species